GCCAGUGUGGCAUAGUGGUUUGAGUGUUUGACUAUGACGCUUGAGACCAGGGUUCAAUUCCACACUUGGCCA